rnacentral:rRNA from 1 species
GACGAACGCUGGCGGCGUGCCUAAUACAUGCAAGUAGAACGCACAGUUUAUACCGUAGCUUGCUACACCAUAGACUGUGAGUUGCGAACGGGUGAGUAACGCGUAGGUAACCUGCCUGGUAGCGGGGGAUAACUAUUGGAAACGAUAGCUAAUACCGCAUAAUAUUAAUUAUUGCAUGAUAAUUGAUUGAAAGAUGCAACUGCAUCACUACCAGAUGGACCUGCGUUGUAUUAGCUAGUAGGUGAGGUAACGGCUCACCUAGGCGACGAUACAUAGCCGACCUGAGAGGGUGAUAGGCCACACUGGGACUGAGACACGGCCCAGACUCCUACGGGAGGCAGCAGUAGGGAAGCUUCGGCAAUGGACGAAAGUCUGACCGAGCAACGCCGCGUGAGUGAAGAAGGUUUUCGGAUCGUAAAGCUCGGUUGUAAGAGAAGAACGGGUGUGAGAGUGGAAAGUUCACACUGUGACGGUAUCUUACCAGAAAGGGACGGCUAACUACGUG